rnacentral:rRNA from 1 species
CCUGCCAGUAGUCAUAUGCUUGUCUCAAAGAUUAAGCCAUGCAUGUGUAAGUAUGAACUAAUUCAGACUGUGAAACUGCGAAUGGCUUCAUGUAAAUCAGUUAUAGUUAUGUUUGUUGGUAUUGCCUACUCGGAAACCGUAGUAAUUUCUAGACUAAUACGUGCAAGCAAACCCCGACUUCUGGAAGGGAUGCAUUUAUUAGAUAAAAGGUCGACGCGCGGCUCUUGGCCCGUUGCUCUGAUGAUUCAUGAUAACUCGACAGAUCGCACGCGCCAUCGUGCGGCGUACGCAUCAUUCAACAUUUUUCUGCCCUAUCGAACUUCGAUGUAGGAUAGAGGCCUACAUUGGUGGUGACGGGUGACGGAGCAAUUAGGGUUCCGAUCUUGGAGAGGGAGCCUGAGAAACGCUACCACAUCCAAGGAAGCAGCAGGCGCGCAAAUUACCCCCAAUCCUGACACGGGGAGGUAUGGACAAUAAAUAACAAUACCGGGCUCUUCGAUCUGGUACAUUUAGAAUGAGUAACAAUCUAAAUCCCUUAAAACGAGAAUCCUGGAGGGCAAGUCUGGGUGCCAGCAGCCGCGGUAAUUCCAGCUCUCCAUACGUAUAUUUAAGUUGUUGCAGUUAAAAAGCUCGUAGUUGGACCUUGGGUUGGGUCGACCGCGUCGCCUCGCGGGUGCACCUGUCGGCUCGUCCCUUCUGCCGGCGAUGCCGCUUCCUGGCCUAACUGGCCGGGUCGUGCCUCCGGCGCUGUUUACUUUGAAGAAAUUAGAGUGCCUCAAAGCAAGCCUACGCCUGGAUACAUUGCAUGGGAUAACAUCAAAUUAGGAUUUCGUCCUAUUGUGUUGGCCUUCGGGAUCGGAGUAAUGAUUUAACAGACAGUCGCGCAUUCGAUGUGUCAUAGCAGAGGUGAAAUUCUUGAUUAUGAAAGACGAACAACUGCGAAAGCAUUUCGUCCAAGGAUGUUUUCAUUAAUCAAGAAAACGAAAGUUGGGGGCUCGAAGGACGAUCAGAUACCGUCCUAGUCUCAACCAUAAACGAUGCCGACCAGGAUCGGCCGGAUUGUUGCUUUUAGGGACUCCGCCGGCACCUUAUGAGAAAUCAAAGUCUUUGGGUUCCGGGGGGAGUUAUGGUCGCAAGGCUGAAACUUAAAGGAAUUGACGUAAAGUGGCACCACCAGGAGUUGGAGGCCUUUGCGGCUUAAUUUGACUCAAAACGGGGAAACUUACCAGGUCCAGACAUGGGUAAGGAGUGAGUCAGACUGAGAGCUCUUUCUUGAUUCUAUGGGUUGGUGGUGCAUGGCCGUCUUAGUGGUGCGAGCGAUUUGUCUGGUUAAUUUCCGUUAGACGAAACGAGACCUCAUGCCUGCUAACUUUAGCUCAUGCGGAGGUGACCCUCCGCGGGCCAGCUUCUGUAGAGGGGACUAUGGCCUUUUUAGGCAAGGAAGUUUUUGAGCAAUAACAGGUCUUGUGAUGCCCUUAGAUGUUUGGGCCGCACGCGCGCUACACUGAUGUAAUUCAACGAGUCUAUAGCCUGGCCGACAGGGCCCGGGAAUCUUUUGAAAUUUCAUCGUGCAUGGGGAUAGAUCAUUGCCAAUUGUCUGUCUCAACGAGGAAUUCCUAGUAAGCCGAUCAUCAGGCUCGCGUUGACUACGUCCUCUGCCCUUUGUACACACCGCCCGGUCGCUCCUUACCGACUAUUGGGUAAAUUUUAUGGUUCCCCGGUUGACAGUGUUCGGAUCCGGCGACGUGGGCGUUCGCGCCGGCGACGUCUGCGAGAAAGUCCACUGAACCUUUAUCAUUUAGAGAAGGAGAUAGUCGCUAAACAAGGUUCCGUAGGUGAACCUGCGGAAG